rnacentral:rRNA from 1 species
GACGAACGCUGGCGGUAUGCUUAACACAUGCAAGUCGAGCGAGAAUCGUUUUGCUGAAGGCUUCGGUCUGACGCAGAAUGAGGAAAGUGGCGAACGAGUGAGUAACGCGUGGGUAACCUGCCCUAUGGAAAGGAAUAGCCUCGGGAAACUGGGAGUAAUGCCUUAUAAUACAUUGAAGUCGCAUGGCUUUGAUGUUAAACGCUCCGGUGCCAUAGGAUGGACCCGCGUCCCAUUAGCUAGUUGGUGAGAUAACAGCCCACCAGGGCGACGAUGGGUAACCGGUCUGAGAGGGCGAACGGUCACACUGGAACUGAGACACGGUCCAGACUCCUACGGGAGGCAGCAGUGGGGAAUAUUGCGCAAUGGGGGAAACCCUGACGCAGCAAUACCGCGUGAGUGAAGAAGGUUUUCGGAUCGUAAAGCUCUGCUAUUGGGGAAGAAAAAAGACGGUACCCAAGAAGAAAGUCCCGGCUAACUACGUGCCAGCAGCCGCCGUAA